rnacentral:rRNA from 1 species
GAUUUCUGGCUUGACGCCUGCGGCCGGCCACGGUUUCGUGUGUCAGUGCUGCCGGCGCUGGCCAUCCUUCCCGCACCGCGCGCCGACUCUUCACUGAGCCGACGACGGGGUGGGAGCGUUUACUUUGAAAAAAUUAGAGUGUUUCAAGCAGGCUCAACGCUAUGAAUACAUUAGCAUGGAAUAAUAAUUUAGGACUUCGGCCCUAUUUUGUUGGUUUCUAGGACUGAAGUAAUGAUUGAUAGGGAUAGUUGGGGGUGCUAGUAUUCAGCGGCCAGAGGUGAAAUUCUCGGAUUCGCUGAAGACUAACUUAUGCGAAAGCAUU